AAAUGGAAGACAAAUCUAGGUCAUGAAGAUACCUCCAAUUAUGAAAGGGAUGACAGAACAACACUACUGAGAUAAGGCAAGUUGCUUCAGGGAAAUGUAUUUUUUCUAAUUAUAAAUUUAUUAAACCCAGUGGUUCUUAAAAGGAGGCAAUUUUACCCCAGGGAACAUUUGGCGAUGUCGAGGCAUUUUAGGUUUCACGACUGGUGAGAAACUAUUGGCAUCUAGUGGAUAGAGGCCAGACAUGCUGCUAAUCAUCCUACAAUGCACUGAACAAACUCCUAUAGCAAAAAUAAUCCAGCCUAAAAUGUCAAUACUGCCAAGGUUGAAAAACUCUGAUAUGACGCUCUCAAGACUACUAACCAUAUUACAUUGAGCUUGAAAUACCCAAGUUGACACUGAGAGCAGUAGCCUCACCACAAAAUGGUUAUUUUAGUCUUGCCUAGAGAGAAACCAUCCUCUCAGAUGCAAUUCUCUAAAGGAAUUAGGCAAAAACAUUACUUUUGUGGAUGCAGGCAUUUAUUCUUGUAUCCUGAGUUAAAAUCGAGCAAACUCAGCUAUUUUGUGUUUCCUGUGUCAUUAUUUUAUAUCGUGAUUUCAAAAUAGUCUUUUUCAAUCUCUAGCCCAAAAAAAGCACCUAAUAUUAGUUAAAGUCCUAUUGAAAAAUAUAACAAUCCAGAAAGCUAGUCAGAUUUUAAGGUAUUGCUUAGCACUAUCAAAUCAGAAAGUAUAAUCAAGAGCUAUGCUGUGGUUUCAAGUACCCCCUCUGUGUCUGAUAGACUUUUGUGAUUGACAUCAGUCUUCUCUGUAUUUCAAAUAAACGUUAGUAACCAACAUUUACAAAGGAAAAACCGAUUAGGUCAACAAUUGAAAAGGAGUUUCUAAAAUCUCCUGAAAUGAGGGAGUUCCCAUCAUGGCACAGUGGUUAACGAAUCCGACUAGGAACCAUGAGGUUGCGGGUUCGAUCCCUGGCCUUGCUCAGUGGGUUAACGAUCCGGCGUUGCCAUGAGCUGUGGUGUAGGUUGCAGAUGCGGCUCGGGUCCUGCGUUGCUGUGGCUCUGGAGUAGGCUGGCAGCUAUCGCGCCAAUUCGACCCCUAGCCUGGGAACCUCCAUAUGCCACAGGAGCGGCCCAAUGGCAAAAAGACAAAAUAAAAUAAAAUAAAAUCUCCUGAAAUGAAUACAGUGGACUAUGCUGACUAGAAAUAAAAUGUCUAAUGUCACUCAUUCCUACUUUCAAAUCUGUUGUCCUCUUAAUUACAAUGUGGGGGCUUGUAUGCAAAGAUGGCUAGUAUCAAUUUAUUCCUUUCCUACACAUGCAAGCCACUUUCUUAUCAAAUGCAGUCUAUGUCCUCACCCACUUGAGCUUUAGCUGGCUUGGGACUGCUUUCACAGUUAAAAUAUAAGCAGAAAUGAUGUUGCACCUGAGUUGAGGCUGCGUCUUUAGGAAGACUAGUGCGUCUAAGACUGUUUUCUCCUUCUUAGAACUCAGUCUCCAUGCUCUGAGACAGCCAAAGCAGCACCGCAGACAGGUUCAUGUGAGCAAGAAUCUAGGCUUCUAGGCAACAGCCCUGGCUGAGCUACCAUGUGACAGCAAUAAAAGAUUUGUUUACCAUGUGAGUAAGCCACUUAGAACAGCAUCUAUCAGCCUCAUUUGGGCCAACUCAUAGCAUAGAGGACAGAGGCAAAUAUACCAGACAUAAUGUUGUCCAAUUAAAGAUUCAUGAGGAAAUAACUUUAUUUGUUUGUUUUUUUCUUUUUACAGCUGUGCCUGUGGUAUGUGGAAGUUCCCAGGCCAGGGGUGUGACCCUAAAAAGCAAUAAAAUAAAAUAAAAUUGAAUAACACAAAUGACUCUAUAUACAAAACAGAAACAGACUCACAGAUGUAGAAAACAAAUUAAUGGUUACCAGAGGGGAGAGGGGGAUUAGGACUAUGGAACUAACAGAUAUAAACUACUAUAUAUAAAAUAGACAAGCAAAAAGGAUUUACAGUAUAGCAUAAGGAAUUAUAUUCAAUAUCCUGUCAUGACCUAUAAUGGAAAAUAAUCUGAAAAA
rnacentral:lncRNA from 1 species